GUUCAGCCACAUGAAACAUCAAUGAAUGGGAGGUGACCAUGGCCACAGCAAGAUGUCCAUGCCAGACUGGCGGCAGUGGAAGACUGAGGGCACUCCACUGGAGUUUACACAGCAAAGGCUGGCGGCCAGGGGCCUCAAGGACCCAUGGGCCCGUAACGAAGCAUGGAGGUACUCUGGUGGCUUUGCGCGUGCUGUCACUCUGUCCGAUGUGCUGCUAAAAGGAUUCAAGUGGGGCUUUGCUGCCUUUACUGUUGCCUUAGCUGUUGAAUAUGCCCUGUUCCCACCAAAGAAGGGCUCCCACUGAUGCACAUUAUAUUCCUCAACCCUCCCCUGUUUAUACUGGGACCAGAUUAAAUCUACUGUCCGAAAUUUACUGUGUACAUUUUGCAAAACCACACUUGAAGUUUCCCAAACAAAUGUGAGAAAAUGUGUCCGGUCCAAUGAAACCAAAUAGUUUUUGGCCAUAAUUUAGAAAAACAAGUAUGUAUGGGAACAAACAAUAAUGCUCAGCACCCCCCCAAAAAAAUCACCCCACUUAAAGUGAGGCACAAAGGUCGCAUCAUGAUUUCGGGUUGUUUUUCUUCCCUCCUGUAAUAGAGCGACAAUGUGGCCGCGAGGGGGCAGUGUGUACCAAAGUUAGCUUGAUAUGUCGUGGACGAAGAAGAAAAAGGGACGCCUGUUUGAGUUCUAGUAAGGUUUAAACGAAAGUUGAACAUUUGUUAUGAAAACCAAGCAAGUUUUCGAGCUUAUGUGGCAUAAUGUUAAGAAGCAGGCACGUGGCUAAACAUUUCAAGUUUGAUGUUGACUCCGGCGAUGGAAGCGCCAACACAAGCAGGCCGUGAGCCGUCUGAGAUUAAAACUCCAGGUAGCACCGAAUAUGAAUCCGAUUGCUUUGAAUCAUACAACAAAUCAAAACAACUGGAGGUUUUCCUUCAGAGCUCUUUAGUGUACAGUCUGAAUUGGAGAGUCACCAUGAAGACUAGACACUCUUCCAGGUUGAAAACAGCUUCAAAUAGGAAGCAAGACAAAAGUCCCAACCUAAGUGAAGAUGUCAUCCAACGCCGGGUUCGGCCAAAGAGGAGGAGGACUAGGAGGAUGGGAUUUGAUGUCAGCGACAUUAAUAAUGAGGACGACAGCAAGGAUGUCAUCAACAGUCAUGUGGAGGAGGAGCCUGAAGAGGGUAGUAGUGUACAAGUGGUUGAUCAAGGAUUAGAUGAUUCAGAUGAUCAGUGUUGCUCCAGCGCUGCUCCUCCCCCACUGAUGGUCAAGGCUCCCAACAAAAAGAGAAGACCACCGAGUGGCCUCUGCCCCCCCUGUCGGAAACUCUACCAGAGGGCAAAGAGGUUGAAAACUCCCAUCAAAGAUAAACUUUUGGAUAAUGAUCCCACCUCCUUAACGUGCGACCACUGGGUCCUGCUGAAAAAGUGGAAGCCAAGUCGGCUACCUCACUCGGGGAAGCUUUCCCGCAGCGUCCUCCUUGUUCACACACGUUUGAAGGGGAAGAAAAAAGCAAAGGAUGAUGAGCAUCAAAACUUGUGCUCAAGGCUGCAUGUUUUCCUUCAGAGGAACCUCAGGCGGCCUCCCAAAGUGCUGGCAAGAAAGGAAAGGAAUAGCGGCCAAAGGAAGAGGGCAAGAGACGACUCUCAGGAUCCUCAAAUGGUCAAGCAGAAGCAUCUCCGCGGCAACAGCCUCCUGCAGGACGACAGCGGCUACUGUCACGAGAGGAGCAGCUUUGACUGGACUCGUGCCGGUCUUGAUGUUGAGGGAUGUCCCAGUGGGGAAAGCAGCCAUGAAAACAACUCAAAUGUGACCGCCAACAUUCCCUGUACGUUCACCUCGGAGACCACCGAGCCGGGGGCCAUCCCACGCAAGCCAAAAGCGCCGAGGAACAAGACGGCAUUCCAAGACUUGCUCGCCCAGUUACGUGGCAACAGCAGCAUGAUUUUCAAAGAGACCCAGUAGACACUUUCGGCUCGGCGCGUUGUUCAAGUUGCUGGUUUGGCUGGCUAAAGGAAGUCUUGCAAGUAAGGUGGUUGUUUAGCCACCACUAACGAAUUACUCGGUUUAUUCUCUUAACAGUGUUGUCAAAAGCGGAGUCGGCAAGAUUUCAGAAUAAAUGUCUUUCCAAGUUAGAAUUCCACUCGAAAUGGCUAUACUUUUCUCUUUCGUGCCACGAGUAGCUGCGCUCCAAUUCCCUCAACAAAGACCGAAGCCUUGAGUGUUGUUGAUGAGGGACACCCUGAGAUGAUUUUUCUUCAAAUUUGGAUUUGAGUCUCCUUUCUGCGCGAACUGCAAAUACAUUACAAAUGCUGUACUGAAGGACAAGACGGCGUCAUUGUUGACCUUUGUUCGCCGUCUGCUUGAGCUAUAAUAUAAGAAAAAAAAGGCCCGCCCCGUGCCCGUCAAA